rnacentral:rRNA from 1 species
GACGUAGGGCGCGAGCGUUGUCCGGAUUUAUUGGGCGUAAAGAGCUCGUAGGCGGUCUGUCGCGUCGGCUGUGAAAACCCGAGGCUCAACCUCGGGCCUGCAGUCGAUACGGGCAAACUAGAGUACUGCAGGGGAGACUGGAAUUCCUGGUGUAGCGGUGAAAUGCGCAGAUAUCAGGAGGAACACCGGUGGCGAAGGCGGGUCUCUGGGCAGUAACUGACGCUGAGGAGCGAAAGCGUGGGGGAGCGAACAGG